AGAACUUAGAGACAGGUGCUGCACGGCUGUCGUCAGCUCGUGUCGUGAGAUGUUGGGUUAAGUCCCGCAACGAGCGCAACCCACGUAUUUAGUUGCUAACGGUUCGGCCGAGCACUCUAAAUAGACUGCCUUCGUAAGGAGGAGGAAGGUGUGGACGACGUCAAGUCAUCAUGGCCCUUAUGCCCAGGGCGACACACGUGCUACAAUGGCAUAUACAAUGAGACGCAAUACCGCGAGGUGGAGCAAAUCUAUAAAAUAUGUCCCAGUUCGGAUUGUUCUCUGCAACUCGAGAGCAUGAAGCCGGAAUCGCUAGUAAUCGUAGAUCAGCCAUGCUACGGUGAAUACGUUCCCGGGUCUUGUACUCACCGCCCGUCACACCAUGGGAGUUGAUUUCACUCGAAGCCGGAAUACUAAACUAGUUACCGUCCACAGUGGAAUCAGCGACUGGGGUGAAGUCGUAACAAGGUAACCGUAGGAGAACCUGCGGUUGGAUCACCUCCUUUCUAG
rnacentral:rRNA from 1 species